AUGAAACUCAUCGGUUGGAACUGCCGGGGGCUCGGGAAUGGCCCGGCAGUUCGUAGCCUUCUCGAUUUGGGGAAGGCGGAGGAGCCUGAUGUUCUGUUCUUGGCAGAGACAAAACUGACUGAGAAGGAGUUGGAUAGGUUUAGAUGGUCAUUGGGCCUGGCCAAUAUGAUUGCUUGGAAUCCAGUCGGUCGAAGCCGAGGCAUGGCGCUGUUCUGGAGGGGGGGGGUGAAUGUAUCCCUGAGGUCGUAUGGCCGAAGACAUGUGGAUGUGGAUGUGAUGGAGGAAGACAGUCGUGUCUGGAGAGUUACAGUGAUCUAUGGCGAGUCUUAA
rnacentral:rRNA from 1 species